ACCAUAGGCAUACAUGGAGCCAUCAGAAAUGGAGGAACGAACCACGUUGCUUCGUCUUCAUCGACACUAUGUACACACAGUUCCAGAUCUGCAGGCUACGAGUACAGUACGGACAGUUUUUGCUCUUUAUUCUGCUAAGAACGUAGUACGAUCUAGCGUCGCGUCGUCGAACCGAUGCGUGCGCGCGAAAUAGUGGCGCACCACCGGCGCUAGAUCAGGAGGAGCAGCGACG
rnacentral:lncRNA from 7 species